GCGUCUAUAUCCCCAAAGAGACAUCACUCUCCUCCUGAGAAUCCUUGUGAUCGUGAAUCUCCAUUCUGGGAUAUAGAUUUAAGAAGCACCCCAAAGGCUACUCCAAUGGGGUGGGAAACAGAAACCUGGGCCCACAAGAAGGAGUUAAGAGACAGUAAAGAAACCUGGAUCUGAGCAGAACUUGCUCAUGGAACACCCCUGACAGUGGAGGAAAGUGAAGACAAACGUUCCCCAGGGAGGCCUGGGGAUAUAUCCUGUGGCAUUGCAUCUCAGAAAUGAUAACCAAUUUGAAGGCUCUGGUUUUAGGAAAAAAGAAACCAUGCAAAUC